rnacentral:rRNA from 1 species
AUAGCAUGUCAGAAGGCAGACCCGGAGAACUGAAACAUCUUAGUACCCGGAGGAAGAGAAAGAAAAAUCGAUUCCCUGAGUAGCGGCGAGCGAAACGGGAAGAGCCCAAACCAACAAGCUUGCUUGUUGGGGUUGUAGGACACUCUAUACGGAGUUACAAAAGAACAUGUUAGACGAAUCAUCUGGAAAGAUGAAUCAAAGAAGGUAAUAAUCCUGUAGUCGAAAACAUAUUCUCUCUUGAGUGGAUCCUGAGUACGACGGAGCACGUGAAAUUCCGUCGGAAUCUGGGAGGACCAUCUCCUAAGGCUAAAUACUCUCUAGUGACCGAUAGUGAACCAGUACCGUGAGGGAAAGGUGAAAAGUACCCCGGAAGGGGAGUGAAAGAGAACUUGAAACCGUGUGCUUACAAGUAGUCAGAGCCCGUUAAUGGGUGAUGGCGUGCCUUUUGUAGAAUGAACCGGCGAGUUACGAUCUGAUGCAAGGUUAAGCAGCAAAUGUGGAGCCGCAGCGAAAGCGAGUCUGAAUAGGGCGUUGAGUAUUUGGUCGUAGACCCGAAACCAGGUGAU